CCGGCACGGGUGAGUAACACGUAUCCAACCUGCCGUCUACUCUUGGACAGCCCUCUGAAAGGAAGAUUAAUACAAGAUGGCAUCAUGAGUCCGCAUGUUCACAUGAUUAAAGGUAUUCCGGUAGACGAUGGGGAUGCGUUCCAUUAGAUAGUAGGCGGGGUAACGGCCCACCUAGUCUUCGAUGGAUAGGGGUUCUGAGAGGAAGGUCCCCCACAUUGGAACUGAGACACGGUCCAA
rnacentral:rRNA from 1 species